rnacentral:lncRNA from 1 species
UGAUCUUAUGUUAAAUGUAUGCACGUCGUACAUGAUUCUGUGCUGCCAUAGCGUCAUUUCCGUAAAAUGUGCACAGCGAGGUAAAACGGUUGAAGGAAAUAUGUCUUAACUCGUCUGUGACUCUGUAAUUGCUA